AGCAUCUCUAUAGCAAUGCGGUUAAUAGCAUGGGCUCUGAUCAAAGACGGAGGAAAAGAGACAUUCCAUGCCCCUGAUGGAAGAAUACGUGCCCUGCCCCGCCUCCCCCCUUGCCAGAAAGGAUAGAACCUGAGUCUGGCAUGCCUCUAGAUCCAGCGGGCAGUUGGCAGAAAACUCAGAGGACAGAGUAACAUGCUGAGUUGUACCGCUAAAGGAAGUGUGAGUUCCAGAGUCAGCCGCCUGGGUUCAAAUCCCUGUGCUGCCGUUUAUCAGCUGUGUCAUCUUAGACUGGUGUGUGAGGGACGAAUGUGCCCGAUCUUAUCUGACCCAUUCUUCACUGGGUCUCCUGAACCCCUUACGCUUGGCCAGGAUCAAGACUACAUUUCCCAGCCUUCUUUGCAGCUUGUUGUGGCCUGUGCCCACAUUCUGGUUGAUGGGAUAGAAGUGUGUGCAGUUUCCAGGAAGUGUCCUUAAAAGGAAGACGUGGGUUCCUUUGCCUUUCUUCCUCCAAGGUAGCUGGAAUGUGGCCUCGAAGCUUGGAGCCUGAGCAGCCAUCUUGGACCAUGAGGAAGAAGCCAAUACUGAGGUGGAGUCAGUGCAACACCAAUAUAGAAGGAGGCUGAGUCCCUGACAACUUUUAGGAGACCCCCUCCAGAGCCCUUUACCAGAGGAAAAAAAAG